CUAAAGUUACCAAAAUGGGAAUAUCAUUAUCUUAUCCCCUGGUGAAUGAGCCAGAGAGCUACGUGGAUCCCGACUUCGAUGAAGACUCUGAUGCAUUCGACUUUGGAAAACAGUUACAUGAAAUCAAUUUAUUCUACUGUUAUGAAAUGAUUGAACACAGAAUCCGUUCAAUCAAAGAGGAGACCAGGUUUCUGAAGUAUGCUUACACUUGGCCCGAUGUUGCCCAGGAGUUAAAGAUAAAGUAUCCUGACUGGACGAAAGAUGACUUGUUGCACCUCAAACAUCAGUUUGAGUUUUUUGACACAACUGGUGACAGACUGCUCAGCUUUGAAGAGUUCUCUGCAGCUCUGGAUCUGAUGAACAACCCUGACUCGGAGGAAGUGCGCAGGGACCUUUUUGACACAGCCAGCGUUCAGAAGUACAACACCCUUAACUUUGAUGAAUAUCUAAAGCUGAUGUAUGAUAUCAAGAACAGUGUGACUUUGGUCACACCCCCCCAAAUAGAGGAAAGCCAUGAAAAGAACAUUGAACAAACUGUCAGUGAUAUAGCACAAAUGGACCCCUUCAGCCAAAUGUGCUUUGGCGUUUUCUAAGAUUCUCUGAUGGAGGGUUUUAAAUGUUUAAAUGUUAUGAAGACUUGUAAUCAAAU
rnacentral:lncRNA from 1 species